ensembl:lincRNA Gm28449 predicted gene 28449
UCUCCUUCCUCCUGUGGAGGCUGAGAUCCUGGGCAGAAAUGAAAUCAUCUGUGUAUACAAAGACUUUAUAUACAGACAUGCUCAUGGAUACUGUCUAGACAUGGCCAGACCUGGAACCCACCCAAAUGCUCAUCCGCAGUGCAUAGCUUGUUUGCCAAGAAGGAUGGAAUGAAUGUACAACUUCAGACACUAAGUUCAAAAGAAGAAGUGGUAACGUUGUCAGAGUUAAAGUUUAGGAAGAGAAGAAAGACCCACCUGGUGCUUAGCUCAUCAGCACUGCCAUUACAAAAUGACAGAAGAACAGAAAAUAUUUGCAACACAUAUAGUUGACUCAUCUCUAGAUUAUACAAAGAUUAUUUGGAACUUAUUAGUAAGGCGAGAAAUACCCCCAAAACAAUUAGAUAUUCAUAUGGUAUAUGUAUGUAAGUAUGUAUGUAUGUAUGUAUGUAUGUAUCUUUAUAUAUAUCCAUUCAUAUACCUAUAUGAGUACAUAAUAAGCCCAUUCA